GACGAACGCUGGCGGCGUGCCUAAUACAUGCAAGUAGAACGCUGAAGGAGGAGCUUGCUCUUCUUGGAUGAGUUGCGAACGGGUGAGUAACGCGUAGGUAACCUGCCUGGUAGCGGGGGAUAACUAUUGGAAACGAUAGCUAAUACCGCAUAAUAGUAGAUGUUGCAUGACAUUUGCUUAAAAGGUGCAAUUGCAUCACUACCAGAUGGACCUGCGUUGUAUUAGCUAGUUGGUGAGGUAACGGCUCACCAAGGCAACGAUACAUAGCCGACCUGAGAGGGUGAUCGGCCACACUGGGACUGAGACACGGCCCAGACUCCUACGGGAGGCAGCAGUAGGGAAUCUUCGGCAAUGGACGGAAGUCUGACCGAGCAACGCCGCGGGAGUGAAGAAGGUUUUCGGAUCGUAAAGCUCUGUUGUAAGAGAAGAACGAGUGUGAGAGUGGAAAGUUCACACUGUGACGGUAUCUUACCAGAAAGGGACGGCUAACUACGUG
rnacentral:rRNA from 1 species